GACGAACGCUGGCGGCGUGCUUAACACAUGCAAGUCGAACGGAAAGACCCUGCUUUUGUGGGGUGCUCGAGUGGCGAACGGGUGAGUAACACGUGAGUAACCUGCCCUUGACUUUGGGAUAACUUCAGGAAACUGGGGCUAAUACCGGAUAGGAGCUCCUGCUGCAUGGUGGGGGUUGGAAAGUUUCGGCGGUUGGGGAUGGACUCGCGGCUUAUCAGCUUGUUGGUGGGGUAGUGGCUUACCAAGGCUUUGACGGGUAGCCGGCCUGAGAGGGUGACCGGCCACAUUGGGACUGAGAUACGGCCCAGACUCCUACGGGAGGCAGCAGUGGGGAAUAUUGCACAAUGGGCGGAAGCCUGAUGCAGCAACGCCGCGUGCGGGAUGACGGGCUUCGGGUUGUAAACCGCUUUCGCCUGUGACGAAGCGUGAGUGACGGUAAUGGGUAAAGAAGCACCGGCUAACUACGUG
rnacentral:rRNA from 1 species